rnacentral:lncRNA from 1 species
UUCUUCCUUCCCCGUUCAGCCCUCCUCUUCCUCUGCUUUCACCGACGGUGACCUGCUGACCAGCGACGGCCGGCGGUGGCGCGCACGGUGGUUUCCUCUUCCCCCCUUUUCUUCUUUUUCUUCUUUGCUCUUUCUUUUUUUCACUUUUUUGCUUGUUGUUUUUUUCCUUUUUGCUUCUUGGUUGUUUUUGCUAGGUGUUGGGACGGUGGUGACAGGUGGUGGGCACGGUGGCGCGCGGUGGAGCUACUAUUUUCCUUGUGUUUUGCUAUUUUAAAAAAAAAUUUAUUUGUUGCCCGAAUCCCCCUCUUUCUCUCAUUUUCUUCUUUUAAAUCCUUCAAUUUUGUCUUAUUCUUUAUUUUCAGGUGGCAGCGGAGGAGGGGGAGCAUGCCCAACAGCCGAUUUGGGGUGUCAGGCGUGGAGAGCGGGGCACGCCCGAAUGCUGACUGGGGGCAUCUUGUCAUGCCCAGAAGGACCAAAUUGUAAAGGGUGCAAAGUUUCUGGGGCAAAAAUGUAAUUUUAGGAAAAUAUGGGGCCAAAAUGUAAUUUAUAGAAAGUUUAGGGGCCCAAAUGAAAAUUUAAGAAAGUUAAAAGGUCAAAAUGUAAAUGUAGGAAAGUUUAGGGUCCAAAAUGCAAUUUUAAAAAGUUAAGGGGUCAAAAAAUAAUUUUAAAAAAGUUUAAGGGUCAAAAUGCAAUUUUUUAUUUAAAAAAACACGAAAAUUAAUCCCGGACAAAAUUCAGUGAUUACAAUUUCACUAUUUAUAUUUAUUUAUUUAUUUAUUAUGCCUAAGCUCAAUGUUAUUUAUAUUAUUUUAUCUUUAAAAUAUUAAAUCUAGUAUUAUAUAUUUAUUUAUUCAUUCACGUAUUUAUUUUUAUAUUUAUCUAUCGGUUUAUUAUUCAUUUCUUAUCCUUAAAAAUUUAUUUGUUUAUAAUCUGUUAAUCACAGAAUUUAUCAUCAUCA